rnacentral:rRNA from 1 species
UACGUAGGGGGCUAGCGUUGUCCGGAAUCAUUGGGCGUAAAGCGCGUGUAGGCGGCCAUGCAGGUCCGUUGUGAAAACUGGAGGCUUAACCUCCAGACGUCGACGGAAACCGCGUGGCUAGAGUCCGGAAGAGGAGAGUGGAAUUCCUGGUGUAGCGGUGAAAUGCGCAGAUAUCAGGAAGAACACCAAUGGCGAAGGCAGCUCUCUGGGACGGUACUGACGCUGAGGAGCGAAAGCGUGGGGAGCGAACAGG